rnacentral:rRNA from 1 species
CCUACGGGGGACUGCAGUGGGGAAUAUUGGACAAUGGGGGGAACCCUGAUCCAGCCAUGCCGCGUGUGUGAAGAAGGCCCUCGGGUUGUAAAGCACUUUCAGUGAGGAAGAACGCCUGGUGGUUAAUACCCAUCAGGAAAGACAUCACUCACAGAAGAAGCACCGGCUAACUCCGUGCCAGCAGCCGCGGUAAUACGGAGGGUGCGAGCGUUAAUCGGAAUUACUGGGCGUAAAGCGCGCGUAGGUGGCUUGAUAAGCCGGUUGUGAAAGCCCCGGGCUCAACCUGGGAACGGCAUCCGGAACUGUCAAGCUAGAGUGCAGGAGAGGAAGGUAGAAUUCCCGGUGUAGCGGUGAAAUGCGUAGAGAUCGGGAGGAAUACCAGUGGCGAAGGCGGCCUUCUGGACUGACACUGACACUGAGGUGCGAAAGCGUGGGUAGCAAACAGGAUUAGAUACCCUGGUAGUC